AACUUAUGUAGUAGCAUCAUAUCACUAUUCUUAACUAUGGACAGGAGGAGAUAGGUAAUAUCAAGCCUCCGUCGUCCCCUGGUCUGCGCCCGCGCAUUAGCUAAGUUGCUGGUAACUAGUUACGCAGCGUAGUUAGUUAAUUAUGGAAUGCGCGAGUGUGUGUGAGAUGACAUUGGACAAGGGCUUGCUUUGCUUUGGUAAGCCCGGCGUUGGAUAUCACAGUUACAUUUUUGGUCUACUUGAACCUUAUUCGGUGGUUUUUUUUCUUCUUUUUUUCACGUUUAUGAUGUAGAAAUCGGGGUUUGCGAUGUGAUGGAUACUACUCUAUAGUAUGUGUGAUUGUUGGGUAAACGGUGGUGGUGCGGUUGCAGGACAAGACUGGGAUAGUGGAAGAAUGGAGUGAGUGGGGGGGGGACAGAACAAGGGACGAAGAGAAUGGAGAUGCUUCUGAGGAUUUCUUAUGAUUAUAUAGUACUAUUUUCGUUCCUUUCGAGGUGUUUUCA
rnacentral:sRNA from 1 species